CUCAGUUCGGAUCGGAGUCUGCAACCCGACUCCGUGAAGCUGGAUUCGCUAGUAAUCGCGCAUCAGCCAUGGCGCGGUGAAUACGUUCCCGGGCCUUGUACACACCGCCCGUCAAGCCAUGGGAGCCAGGGGUACCUGAAGUCCGUAACCGCGAGGAUCGGCCUAGGGUAAAACUGGUGACUGGGGCUAAGUCGUAACAAGGUAGC
rnacentral:rRNA from 1 species